rnacentral:rRNA from 1 species
GACGAACGCUGGCGGCGUGCUUAACACAUGCAAGUCGAACGCUGAAGCUCAGCUUGCUGGGUGGAUGAGUGGCGAACGGGUGAGUAACACGUGAGUAACCUGCCCUCUUCUUUGGGAUAACGCCCGGAAACGGGUGCUAAUACUGGAUAUUCACUGAUUCUCGCAUGGGGGUUGGUGGAAAGGUUUUUUCUGGUGGGGAUGGGCUCGCGGCCUAUCAGCUUGUUGGUGGGGUGAUGGCCUACCAAGGCGUUGACGGGUAGCCGGCCUGAGAGGGUGACCGGUCACAUUGGGACUGAGAUACGGCCCAGACUCCUACGGGAGGCAGCAGUGGGGAAUAUUGCACAAUGGGCGAAAGCCUGAGGCAGCGACGCCGCGUGAGGGAUGGAGGCCUUCGGGUUGUAAACCUCUUUCGCUCAUGGUCAAGCCGCAGCUUUGGGUUGUGGUGAGGGUAGUGGGUAAAGAAGCGCCGGCUAACUACGUG